rnacentral:misc_RNA from 1 species
GAUGAAGAACGCAGCGAAAUGCGAUACGUAAUGUGAAUUGCAGAAUUCAGUGAAUCAUCGAAUCUUUGAACGCACAUUGCGCCUGCCAGCACUCUGGCAGGCAUGCCUGUUCGAGCGUCAUUUCAACCAUCAAGCCCUAGGCUUGCGUUGGAGCCCUGCGGCUGCCGCAGGCCCCUAAAAGCAGUGGCGGGCUCGCUAUCACACCGAGUGCAGUAGAUUACUCUUCGCUCAGGGCGUGUGGCGGGUUCCGGCCGUGAAACCCCCUACUUCUCGAGGUUGACCUCGGAUCAGGUAGGAAUACCCGCUGAACUUAAGCAUAUCAAUAAGCGGAGGA